CUGAUCCUGCAAAGUGGCACUGGUUGCCUACCAGCUAGCCUCUGUCCGAGCAGGCCACUUCACCGUUACUUGAAGCUGCUGCCGGCUAAAAGAAGCUGAGCAAGCUCCGUGCGCAUAUGCCCACUGAUGUAACCUGGAGAGAUGGUCACUUCUGUGCACACCAUCCUUCCUGGCCAAGUCGUGUGGAAAGGCAUCCAAGACACCCUUUGCCUUGGAUCACUUUCUGCAAGAAGAUCGA